rnacentral:lncRNA from 1 species
AAAUUGAAAGAGGCUCCACCAUUUUCUUAAUACAGCCCUUGGAACUGAUUUUCCAGCUGACAAAGAUGAACAAAUGGCCAUGCAAAGUGCGACACCUUUGGCACAGAGUAAGUUGAAGGAUGUAUGUGUUUCUAUGGGCAUGAAAGCUAAAUUCUGGCAUUUCCAUACCUAAUUACAGCUGCUGACAGUCCACACUCAAGAAUGCCCAUUGAGGGUAAGGUUUCAUUUGUGUUCCAUUUCUUACGUGUAAUAACAAUAUGAAUUAUUGACUUACAGCCCUCAUGGAGGAACCAGCUUCAGUGAUAACUGGUGAGUUACUGGCAUGCUUAUGUGCAGCAUUUGUUGUAAACAUGAACUUUUCCUCUUUCUGUAUGCACAGCAAGUGGAGCUGGUGCUGAACCAUCUGUGACAGGUAGCCAUGUUUGCAUGUUUCAAUUGUAGGAAAGUUCUAGCACUGCACCCUUCACAAAUGUUGUAAAUAUUUUUCAGGGGAGGACUUCGCAUAUUUGCGUGAUGGCUCUUUUCAUCUUCAGAGAGGCAUUUGCCUGACCUCGGUACAGGCCAAAAGAAUACUCAGUCAUAAGAAGCCCACAUUAGUGGUGAAAGAAACCUCCCAGGCCAUAUGGUCACAAAAAGGUUUUGGCGGCACGCAGUAUGAAGGGGGGCGUAGCUCCAAGGAAAAAGAACCUUGGUGAGCUUCCAAAGCCUGCAUUGACACCUGAGAAAGUCAACAUUGUUGAAGCAACCCUGCCCCAUUGGUCACGGGUAAAUGAAAUCGAUGCAUCAGCGGCAGCUGGAAACUUAACUAAUAUACAAUUCAGAAAAAAUACAGGAUGGUAUCAAAGCGGAGAGACGAAGAGGUCUCUUUCCUUGAAACGACGACGACCAUCCUACAUCAAGGCAGA